AACCUUAUGGACCUGCGGGCGUAUACCUGCGGAGGGAUCAUUACAAGGUUAAAAAAAAAGCCGUGAAAACGGUUUUUUUUUAAAAAAAACCAUGAUCAUUCACUUUGUGCACUUAUUGAAAUUAUGCUUUGGCAGAUUAGGAGUUUUUCUAAUGAGAAAUUUUCUAAAAAAAAGUCUGCCAGAGUUUUUAAUUAAAAAUAAAGCCUUAUUGUUUGUCUGAAAUAUUUAAAAAUUUAAAUA
rnacentral:misc_RNA from 1 species